rnacentral:ncRNA from 1 species
GAUUUCUGCCCAGUGCUCUGAAUGUCAAAGUGAAGAAAUUCAAGUAAGCGCGGGUCAACGGCGGUAGUAAAUAUGACUCUCUUAAGGAAGAUAUGGAUCUGAAUAAUAGCGUAGAAGGGGAU